GGGGCGAAUGUACCAAGGUUGGCGAAACGGUCUCCAAAACCGUUUGGGUGGGUUCGAUUCCCAACCGUCCCUGCCA
rnacentral:tRNA from 2 species